CCUGGUGGCUCAGUUGGUAAAGCGUCUGCCUGCAAUGCGGGAGACCCGGGUUUGAUCCCUGGGUCAGGA
rnacentral:tRNA from 1 species